AGCAAAUCGCAAAGUGAAAACAGGCGAUAAAUCAUUCAAGUUUCUGACCUAUCAGCUUUCGACGGUAUGGUAUUGGCUUACCGUGGCAGUGACGGUUAACGGGGGAUUAGGGUUCGAUUCCGGAGAGGGAGCCUGAGAAACGGCUACCACAUCUAAGGAAGGCAGCAGGCGCGCAAAUUACCCAAUUCUAACAGUUUGAGAGAGGUAGUAACAAGAAAUAACAAUACAAGGCAAUUAAAAUGUUUUGUAAUUGGAAUGAUAGAAAUUUAAACCCUUUUUAAAGUAUCAAUUGGAGGGCAAGUCUGGUGCCAGCAGCCGCGGUAAUUCCAGCUCCAAUAGCGUAUAUUAAAAUUGUUGCAGUUAAGAAGCUCGUAGUUGAAGUUCUGCUAAAAGUAACCGGUCUGCUU
rnacentral:rRNA from 1 species